ACUACAGGAAAAUCUUGAGCCGCCUCGCGCCUCCUGCCGGCAGUACCAGUGCUCUGCGUGCAUUUGCACGGACUCCCGGGGGGUGCCUUCUCCUGGAAGCUGUCAUCUCUACCUCCCUCUUCGCCCGGGGCUCCCAGGCCGUCACUGAGCACAUCAUUGUCCUCACCCCACCUGCUUUGCCCAGCCGUGGACACGGCUCCCCAGCCCCACACAGCCUGUCCUCGGGCGGUGGGGAGUGCAGGCGACGUUAUGGCAUGGAAUGAGAACUCACUGAAGAUUUGUCAGCAGACAUCACUGCUGGCAAAACUCGCUGCUGGCCCCGCCUCAGCAGAUCCCUGCUAAAUCCAUGCCACCCCAGAGAAAUACACACUGAACCAGAUAUAUGUGGCGUUAAAUUUUCCAGUUGCUACAUGAAAAAAUUUAAAGAAAAGUGAACAAACAAAAAAAAUCAAGGUCCUGGACAUGAUCUUAACCUGGAGCUGGCCUUUGCACACUUCUGUCCGGUUCCCUGCCUGGCCGUGGAGGGCGAUCCCACCGUGCCAUCCUGCUUUCACCUCUAGCGUGUCUCCUUCUUCUCCUCUGGGUGCUCAUGUAGCCACUCUCCUGGGGACUCACUCUCCUUUGGUUUGAAUCCUCAGUACAUGUACUUCUUUUGGAGAAGAAGUUUCAUUUCUUUCCAAUUACAAGUGAAAUACCUGCUAAAUGCAAAAACAAAUGAGAAAAUUCCUCAGUAUAAAGAAUCUUCCUAAUGAUACAUCUACAGAAUGCAGAGUCAUAAAAAUACCAUUGAAGGAUUCCUGUUUCAUCUCAGUGUGGACAAGAUUCAUGUAACACAUGAAAGUAAAGUGCUGCACAGGGUACAGAGCACCCACUGCUUACGUCUAGUUCCCCCAAAGGAUGCGCAGGCGACUGGUAAUGCUGGCGGCUCUCUGGAAGGAGAAUAAAUGGCUUGGAAGGAAUUUUUUAUUAGACAGUCUUUUAGAGCUUUUGAUUUUUAUACCAUGUGAUUUUAUUACUUUUUCCAAGAUGAAAUAAAAAAAUUGAGAAAGAAUAGUUUAUUAUGUGGUACUCCAUGAAAAUUACUCUUAAUAUAUAUCCUUCCCAGCUUUAUUUUCUGCAUACACACAGACAUACACACAUGCAUUUUGCUUAUUUCCAUAAAAUUAAGAUCAUGUCAUAAUGAGUUAUAACCUACUUUUCCCUCAUUUACUAUACCCUGGAUAACUUCCCAUAUCAAUGUAUAUAAAUCACAUUGUUAAUUUAAGUAGUUGCAGAGUAAUCCAUUGUAUACUUUUACCAUAAUAUUUUUACCUAAUCCCCUAUAGUUUUUAAGAGCUUCAUUGACAUUCACAUGCCAGAAAAUUCACCCAAAGUGUACAGCCCAGUGGGUAUGUAUUCAGAGUUGUAUGACCAUCACCACAAUCUAGUUUUAGAACAUUUUCACCACUCGAAAAAGAAAAUGCAUACACCUUAGCAGUCACUCACCAUUCUUCCUGUUCUACCUGCCAUAGGCAACCAGUAAUCUAUUUUUUCUCUCUAUGGAUUUGCCUAUUCUGGACAUUUCUUUUAAAUGGAGUCAUGCAUAUAAGGCCUUUUAAAAUAAAACAGUAGCAGACUAACAGACUCCAAGAAGG